AUGGAAGCUGUUACCAUCAACUUCAUCCCUUUAGAGCCCUCUUGGACAUGUUUUAAGGUCCCAAGAUUGAGCAAAAGAUCUGUUUUCAUCUCUAAUCAUAACAAUAACCAGCUUUGCCUCGUUGAACCGGGAGAAGGUAAGUUACUGUCUUCUCUUUCCGGGGAAGUAAAUGGGAGGCUUGGAGAGGUGAUUCCCCCAGCUCUGUGUGGAGCCCCGGAGGCAGGCAGGACUGCAGACCGAAGCACAGCAUUGCAGCGUCGCGGGAUUCACAGACUGGUCAGCGCAGUGGUGCACCAUCACACAGAUCCUCAGUGGCAGGAUUCACAGACUGGUCAGGGCAAUGGUGCACCAUCACACAGAUCCUCAGUGGCAGGAUUCACAGACUGGUCAGCUCAGUGGUGCACCAUCACACAGAUCCUCAGUGGCAGGAUUCACAGACUGGUCAGCUCAGUGGUGCACCAUCACACAGAUCCUCAGUGGCAGGAUUCACAGACUGGUCAGCUCAGUGGUGCACCAUCACACAGAUCCUCAGUGGCAGGAUUCACAGACUGGUCAGCUCAGUGGUGCACCAUCACACAGAUCCUCAGUGGCAGGAUUCACAGACUGGUCAGCUCAGUGGUGCACCAUCACACAGAUCCUCAGUGGCAGGAUUCACAGACUGGUCAGCUCAGUGGUGCACCAUCACACAGAUCCUCAGUGGCAGGAUUCACAGACUGGUCAGCUCAGUGGUGCAUCAUCACACAGAUCCUCAGUGGCAGGAUUCACAGACUGGUCAGCUCAGUGGUGCACCAUCACACAGAUCCUCAGUGGCAGGAUUCACAGACUGGUCAGCUCAGUGGUGCACCAUCACACAGAUCCUCAGUGGCAGGAUUCACAGACUGGUCAGCUCAGUGGUGCACCAUCACACAGAUCCUCAGUGGCAGGAUUCACAGACUGGUCACCUCAGUGGUGCACCAUCACACAGAUCCUCAGUGGCAGGAUUCACAGACUGGUCAGCUCAGUGGUGCACCAUCACACAGAUCCUCAGUGGCAGGAUUCACAGACUGGUCAGCCCAAUGGUGCACCAUCACACAGAUCCUCAGUGGCAGGGUUCACAGACUGGUCAGCCCAGUGGUGCACCAUCACACAGAUCCUCAGUGGCAGGAUUCACAGACUGGUCAGCUCAGUGGUGCACCAUCACACAGAUCCUCAGUGGCAGGGUUCACAGACUGGUCAGCCCAGUGGUGCACCAUCACACAGAUCCUCAGUGGCAGGGUUCACAGACUGGUCAGCCCAAUGGUGCACCAUCACACAGAUCCUCAGUGGCAGGAUUCACAGACUGGUCACCUCAGUCGUGCACCAUCACACAGAUCCUCAGUGGCAGUAAAUGGUCGACACUGCUGA
rnacentral:lncRNA from 1 species